UACGUAGGGUGCGAGCGUUAAUCGGAAUUACUGGGCGUAAAGCGUGCGCAGGCGGUUAUGCAAGGCAGAUGUGAAAUCCCCGGGCUCAACCUGGGAACUGCAUUUGUGACUGCAUGGCUGGAGUGCGGCAGAGGGGGAUGGAAUUCCGCGUGUAGCAGUGAAAUGCGUAGAUAUGCGGAGGAACACCGAUGGCGAAGGCAAUCCCCUGGGCCUGCACUGACGCUGAGGCGCGAAAGCCAGGGGAGCAAACGGG
rnacentral:rRNA from 1 species